GCUCUGUCAGGGUUGGCUCUGCACAGUGUCUGUUCUGUAGAGUUGUUCUGCUGUGACCUGAGCCCGGCCUGUGCUGCAUCGUUCCUGCCCUUAUCUAUCCUCACACAGUCCGCUUGUCUAAAGAGAUAAGAACCCGGGCAGGACGGAGCAGGAGUAGUCUGCACUAGAGUACUCCUUUAAAUAGAAUAGGACCCAAAAUUGACCCCUGUGGUACCGCACUAGUAACAGUCACCCACUCAGAAAUAAAUCUAUUUAAAGUCACAUGGAAUUCACUCAUGGGAAGCAUCAUACUGCUGGCAGCUGGAAACCUGAUUAAAA